rnacentral:RNase_P_RNA from 1 species
CGAGGCGCCUAGGCGGUCGCGUCCAUGCCGCAAGGCGUGGUCGAGGAAAGUCCGGGCUCCACAGAGCAGGGUGGUGGGUAACGCCCACCCGGGGUGACCCGCGGGCCAGUGCCACAGAGAACAGACCGCCCCGAUGCGCCGGUUCGCCGACGUGCCGGGGUAAGGGUGAAACGGCGGUGUAAGAGACCACCGGCACCGUGAGCGAUCACGGUGGCCAGGUAAACCCCACCCGGAGCAAGACCAGACAGCAGGCGGGUUGCUCGCCCUUGCCUGCGGGUAGGUCGCUGGAGGCCGUCAGCAAUGACGGUCCGAGAUGGAUGACCGUCCCACGACAGAACCCGGCUUAUCAGGCGCCUCGUCAC